UGAGCCGUGAAGGUAGAGAAGGUACCCCAAA
rnacentral:piRNA from 1 species